UCCCUGGUGGCUAAGCGGUAAAGAAUCUGCCUGCAAUGCAGGAGACCCAGGUUCAAUCCCUGGGUGGGGAA
rfam:TPA: Bos taurus chromosome 13, whole genome shotgun sequence.